AGUGAACGCUGGCGGUAGGCCUAACACAUGCAAGUCGAACGGCAGCACAGUAAGAGCUUGCUCUUACGGGUGGCGAGUGGCGGACGGGUGAGGAAUACAUCGGAAUCUACUUUUUCGUGGGGGAUAACGUAGGGAAACUUACGCUAAUACCGCAUACGACCUACGGGUGAAAGCAGGGGAUCUUCGGACCUUGCGCGAUUGAAUGAGCCGAUGUCGGAUUAGCUAGUUGGCGGGGUAAAGGCCCACCAAGGCGACGAUCCGUAGCUGGUCUGAGAGGAUGAUCAGCCACACUGGAACUGAGACACGGUCCAGACUCCGACGGGAGGCAGCAGUGGGGAAUAUUGGACGAUGGGCGCAAGCCUGAUCCAGCCAUACCGCGUGGGUGAAGAAGGCCUUCGGGUUGUAAAGCCCUUUUGUUGGGAAAGAAAAGCAGCAGGUUAAUACCCCGCUGCUCUGACGGUACCCAAAGAAUAAGCACCGGCUAACUUCGUG
rnacentral:rRNA from 1 species